ensembl:lncRNA novel transcript
CUGUUGGUUUAGUCUGAAAGCUACUAUUAAAUAUAGUAAAUAUUGUAAUUUUAUUUUGCUGAAGUUUUUCAGUCAUCUCUUGUUGAAUGAAGCUCAUUCAUUAGUAGAUCUUCAUGAGUGGCUCAGGGGUACAUAAUUGUCUAAGUUAUGUGUUUGAAGCUGUUUUUCUAUUAUAGUGUUUUAUACUGAAGGACAGCUUGACUGAAUAUAAAAUCUUGGUUCACACUUUCAGUUUUUUGAAAAUUUAUUGUCUUGCUUUAUAUAUAUUUUUUGAGAAAUCUGAUACCAGUCUAAUUAUUUUGCCCUUGUAAAUUAUUUGAUCACGUAUCCCUGAAUCCUCGAGGAUUAAAAAAUUUUUUUCGGCCUGGCUCGGUGGCUCACGCCUGUAAUUCCAGCACUUUGGGAGGCUGAGGCGGGCAGAUCACGAGGUCAGGAGAUCAAGGCCAUCCUGGCUAACAUGGUGAAACCCCAUCUCUACUAAAAAUACAAAAAAUUAGCCUGGUGUGGUGGUGGGCGCCUGUAGUCCUGGCUACUCGGGAGGCUGAGGCAGGAGAAUGGCGUGAACCCGGGAGGCAGAGCUUGCAGUGAGCCGAGAGUGCGCCACUGCACUCCAGCCUGGGCAACAGAGCGAGACUCCGUCUCAAAAAAAAAAAAAGAAAAAAAGAAAAAUUUUUUUUUCAAGUUUAAAUAGUUUUACUGAGAUGUGUCUUGGAGUUAACAUUCAAAGUUUACUUUUCCAGUUAACUGGAAAUCCCUUUCAAAAUGUAGAUUCAGAUCCUUUUUAUUUCUGAUAAUUUUUCAUGGAUUAUAAUGUUAAAUAUUCUGUUCCAUUGUUUUUUAUUUCUUCUUCAGGGGUUCCAAUUAUAUGUGAGUUAUUUAUCUUUUGUUCAACUUUCUCUUUCUGACCAUUUUUCCUUCUUUUCUGUAUCGUAUUUAUUUGUUUAUUUUUGCAUCUAUCCAGUGUCUAAGUUUUCAUUAGUCUGUUUUCCUUUGGACACCUUGUAAUUUAGUCUUCAUUUAUAAUUCCCCCCCUUCCAUUUCUUUCUUGAAUUCAAUAAUCUUUAAAUUUACUCGUGGUUUUUUUAAUCUAUUUCUGUUUUUUAUAUUUUGAAUUUCCAAUUCACGGUGCUUUUUCAUAUCCCCAAAUGCUUAUCUGAGGAUUUUAUUCAGUUUGAUAUGUUGUGUUACAAUUUUCUUCUGAUUUAAUGGUUGCUUUUUGGUAGAGAAUUUUCAUCAGCCAAUGCAUGUUAAUUAUUGUUUGCUGAUUUCUCAUACUACCAUUAUAUAGAUUUAGUCCAUUUCCUUCCAUUCAUUUUUUUGAAUUUGAGGGGUUAUAAGAUUCCUAGUUCAGAAGGACUCUCUCUGUCAGCAUAGAAAAUACAAUUUCUUUAGGGGGUGUUUUUUUUAACUUUAUAGUAGAGGGAGGGAUUAUGUAUGUUCCAGUUUUUUGUUUUUUGUUUUUGUCUUGCAGGACCCUGAAUUUCUCCUGUUGCUUCUUUUCCCCUUCACCAUCCAGUUGCCAAAAGGCACCUUGCCUAUUCUUUUUGCUCUCUCCACUCCCUGAAGCUAUCCUGUAAUAAGUGUUGUGAUACUAAGAUACUUUAUAUUUUUGCACCUAGGAUAGAAUUUCUAUCUCUGCUGGUGAUUUUAGACCAAUUUUAGGCCUGCCACUAGAUCCGUUUUUCUUUAUUCUGUAUGUUCUUCUUUGGCCUGCCCUUGCUUGCUACAAAGGCUUAUGGUAGAAAUGUGAAAGAUCACUCACUUGGAUUUGGUGCUUUUAAUUUUUUUACUUAUAAGUAUUUGACAUUUGGCUAUAUUUUUCUUCUUGUUAGGCUGAGGGUGUAUUUUGUAUAGAUUUAUUUAUUCUUCUUGUUCUGUAUCGUUUAUGACGGACAUAGGUAGCUGCCAUUUUAUUUUAUUACCGCGAAGUCCUCACCUAUUCACUCUUAAAUCUACCUCAUUGAAGACUUCAAUAACUAUUUGUUGUUGGAAGCCAUAAUGAAACUGUUGAUCAAAUUACCCAAUCCAAAUCAAAUUAACCAAAAAGACUUUCUUCAGUCUUCAUAUUAAUUACCUUCCCUGCAGAACAGAACAUGGUUGCCCAUUAUGUGAAAUUCCUUUUACUUCUUUGGUGGUCCUGUCUGUUUUCUUAUGCCUAAUUGUUGCUUACGGUAUACUUGCUGUUUGUUUGUUUGUUUGUUUGUUUCUUUUAUACACUCAUUAAGUGAGUUCUCCAUCUAAAUAUCCCAUAAGGCACUUCAGAAUCAACAUAUCCAAAAGGAAACAUAUUUUACUCAUCUCCAAAUCUUUUGUUUCUCCAGCAAUUCAAGUUUUGGUGAAUGAAGCUAUGAACAAUCCAGUAAUCCAAACCAGAAACUUGAGAGUCAUCUUUUUUACACCUCCCACUUUGCAUCUCUCACAUUGAAUAAGCAAUCAUGCCCUGAGCCAUAUACUUUCUUAGCAUCUCUGCCAUCCUCCCUAUCCUCUUUGGUAUGGCCUCUCUUCAGACUGCCUCCUUAGCUCUCUUCUGGAUCACUAUAACAGCCUAACAAUUGUAUCACCUUCAGUUUUGCUCUUUCUUCCAUAUGACUAUCAGAAUUAUUUCUCUGGAAGAUCAUGUCAAUCACUCCUUCUCAGUGGUUCUUCAUUGCCUAUAGGAAGAAAUCCAAACUCCGUAGCAUGAGAGAAAUGUUUUUCAUAAUGACUUUAUCCUGCCUUUCUAUUGUUUCUUUCAUAUCAUGCCCAGCUCAGCCCCCCAUUCAAUGAAAAUCAUACUAAACUACUUUAAUUCCACUAACAUGUUGUGCUAGUUAAGCCUCUUUACCUUUGUUCAUGCUGUUUUUACUCAGACCACUCCAUUCCACAACAUACACUUGGGGGAUACCUACUAAUUUUGAAGACCCCCUUCAGCCCUGAUGUUAACCUUCUUUGUGGAAUCAUUAUUGACAUGAUGGAUAGAAUUGGUCAGAUGCUUCCUUGUUCAUCAGUUGUACUAGGCACAGCAUUCUAAUGUAGCACCUAUUACACAUUUUAAAAUUUGUUUACAUGUCUCCCCUCAUGUAAGUUUGUAGGACUGGUACCUGAAAUAUACUAGGCUUACCUUACUGACAUUUUGAAAUAUAAGAUAGCUUUCCAAGGCUUGCUUUUGCCUCCUGAUUCAGGACUCUACCAUUGGCAUCAUCAGGAAGAAUUUCUAAUAGUAUUAUUGAUCAGAGUCUUCUGGAAGUUUCUGCAGGUUACACAUCAACUUACUUUUCCCUGACAAAAUAAUUCUGCAUCUAGAAACACAAACAAGUAGUCAAAGAAGUUAUAUUGGAACUAAGAGAUGAAUUACCAAAGGAAAACUGAAAUCAAGAAACAUUUGAUGAAAUUCAGGCAAUGUCUUCAGGUGCCAGAGGACACAGAAAUGUCCCGAGAACCAUUCACAUGAUCUUAAAGAAACUUCUGCUGGUUGUCUUGUACCUUUGAAGCAGGUGUGAUUGAGAUGGAUACCUUAAUUUUUUUAAAGUAAAAAUUGUUCAUUCUCUUAUGUACUUUAGCAUACUGGUAUUCUUAUCAAAAUAUGAAACAGCAUCAAGUUUAAUAUUAAUUAUAAAACACAUGGUAUAUUUAUAUUUCUGCUCUUUAUUUUCUAAAGUUAACUCAGUUAACUCUCCAUAUAGGUAUUUGGACAUGGGCUGUAACCACUUUUUAGAACAAAUACUGUGAAGAUUGUUUUAUUACAUGACAUUUUAUGAUGUGAGAUUAACACCUUUGUGUUAGUAAACAUCCUAGAUUGUUCACUUCAAUAUAGAUUUUUAAAAUGUAUAGUUAUACUUGUGCAGGAUACUAGAAAAUGAAAAUGACUGUUCACACAUGCUUUAUUAUUCAGUAAUUUUACAAGAAAAUAUUACUGUUUGAAAGAAAAUCAUGCAUGCCUAAAACUGAUUCUGUUCCAGUUUUAUAAGUUAGUAUACUAAUUUUAAGACAUUGUGUAUAUUUCCUUCACUUAAUUUCUAUUUUCUACUGCAUUUCUACCAAUAUAAAAAACAAAGAAUUCAGUUGGUUCCUUUCUAGAGGGAAAAUUUGUUGUGAGUAUAGUACUGGGCAUCACAUGCUGCUUCCCUUUGUGGCUUUGAAUAAACCCUUAUUUUCUUGUCC